rnacentral:lncRNA from 1 species
GCACGUGUUAAACUUGUUUUUGACCCUGCCAUGUGAGAAACUCGAAGAGAUAGCCGAGGAGCUGAUGUUGUCUGCAGGAGUCAGGGACGCUGAUAGAGUAGUCUCUCAUUAGAACUUUGUGGUGACUGACGAAGAGAAAGCAUGGAGAAGUACACACAAGUUCUUUAAGAUUCUUGUGAAAAGGGGCAAAUCUCUCCUUUGUUCUUUACAUUUGAGAAGAAAUGUCAAAUGGCAAUUUGCAGGAGGAAAGCGAGAGGAAUCAAAAUAUUCUCAAAAAGCUUUGUGAUCUCUUUCUGCUCACACAGCUACAUUGGACAAGUAUAUGAAAUUUUACCCAGAC